CCAACAUGGAGAGAUUAAGUACGCGCCUUACACACUGUCCUGUCAUGGCGGCAGGGUAAAUGGAUGCCAGGACCGCCUGCGACCUCAGGCACUCCUCAGUCAGUCAGUGCUACAGAACGGAAAGAUAAGUCUGCCACUAAGUCAUAACCCUCCCGGGACACUGCGUUUUCCUCUCAGAAGGAAGCAGAGUUUGUAAUAGUUGAAGCCACAUGUCUCUAUGGACUGGAAUAUUGUUGAAACAGCUUCACUCAAGUGAGGAGACUUAACUGUAUAAUUCAGCCUGGUGCUUUACCUUCUCCGACCCCAUCAUGUCAGGACCACCACCGCACCAAGCAAAGCACCUAGCCUUUUUCUGCUCAACCUGUGGCUCAAACAUCCUAGCAAGAUAAGCCGUUUGCAGUCCUCCACAGAACACUUUCCUGUUUCCAGCCUCUGUGGUCUCUGUUCCUUUUUGUGUUUGGUAUCUUGUCUUUAAACAACUUACCCUUUCCUCUUUACCAAUUGAAGUUGAAAAACAG